rfam:Pseudomonas syringae pv. tomato str. DC3000, complete genome.
GGGGCUUUAGCUCAGCUGGGAGAGCGCCUGCAUGGCAUGCAGGAGGUCAGCGGUUCGAUCCCGCUAAGCUCCA